rnacentral:lncRNA from 1 species
CGUUCCAGCAUACAGCUGUGUAAACUAAAACUGCAGGCCUGUUCUCGUGUGGCCAGUUACUUACAGAAAACAAGUGAGGCAGCUUUCUCGAGGGACUUGAAGAGGAAGGUGGUUGAAUGACAAAGGAGAAAGAGAAUGGUUCAAGGAAGAAGGAAAAGGCUGGUGAGGAGAUGGCUCAGGAGCAGGGAACCAUCAGGUUUUUACCCAAAAGAGCAUGUUGAAUUAUAAGCAUAUAGUAAUGGAAGACAAGAAGAAACACAAUGAGUGGGUUUAUUGCAUCUAGAUGUAGAUAACUAUGGGAUGAACAUCCCCAGCUGCCCUAAUUGCCAACUGUUUUUAUAGUCACUACUAAAGGUCGGUCUUCCUGUGGCCAGAUUCAUCUUUCCACCACUUCCCUUGUUAGCAGCCAGCACUAAUGGGAAAAAGAGAGCAGGGUUUGUGAACGACUGUCUCUGAGAAACCUCCCACAGUGACAAAGCUGACACGAGGAAACAUCAGCUUUCUGCUUUAGUACAAGCAGAAUGGAGCUCAGCUAGCAUCCCUUGUGCUUGCACGUAGAUGAGCAAGUCUACUAAUGAGACAUCUGCACAGCCCUCCCCUCACUUCCUUUUGGUUUGAUUCCAACUGCCAGAGCUACAG